CUGCACAAGUUAGUGGUUACUUGGGCAUGGUUGCUCUCUCAUUUCAGAGUCUCCUUUUGAAGUGGUUCAAAGGUAGAGAGCACUUUAGGAGAAUGGUGUGUUUUAAAACCUGGCUGGCAUUUACAAUGUUCUGCUCUGUUCUUCUCUGCAUUAGCUAUAAGAUAGUGGGCUUUAGUUUGCAGUAGAGAUCUUGUGGCUCAGGAGCCUGAAGAGUUUACUACUCAGCUCUGUGAAUCUUCUUUAAGAUGAUCUUUGAGAAUACCUUUCCAUGUCGUCCUUAAAGCAAGCUAUUGUCAUCCAUUGCUAGCAUUCAGAUUCUCAAGACAAGUAUGUCAUGAGAAAUGAACCUGCAAAGACUACCUGCUUUCUUACCACACUCAUUUCUCCUCACCACUUGUGCCUGCUGAAGUCUCUCCUCAAUCCUCUGCCAAGUGACUACUUGUUGUCUGGAAACUUCUGAGGACACUGGGGAAUCUGGUGGUAACAUGGGCAAGGCACAAGAAGUUAAGGACAGUUUCUGACCUCAAAUCAGAUUUUACCAUUUUAGGGAUGUAACCUUGAAUGGAUGGUGGUGUUUUAAUUUCUUCCGCUGAACAACUUCAGAAGAUGCAGAGUGAGUUUUGAUGGGAAAGAGACUCUUCAUGGGCUACUCUAGAACAAACAAUGGAAACGGAUCACAGGAAAGAAUGAAGGACAUGGUUCAUGUCUGAUUCAGACAGGAACAUGCUGUCCUCUGAGAGACUCCAUUCAGCAGCUGACUCAGAUGCAGACACCCACAACUAAACAGUGGAUGGAGCUUGGGGACUCUUACGGAAAAAUAGGAGGAAGGAUUCUGGGCCUAGAAGGAGAUAGGAACUCCACAGGAAGACCAGAGCCAACUAACAUGGACUGCUGGGGAUCUCAGAACAUAUAUGACCUGGACCUACACUUCCCUGCACCUAUGUAGCCGAUGUGCAGCUUGGUCUUCUUGUGGGUCCCGAAACAACUGGAGCAGGGACUAUCCCAAAAGCUGUUGCUUGUAUGUCGGAUAUCUUCUACCAGCUGGGCUGCCUUGUCUGUUCUCAGUGGGAGAGGAAGCAGAGACUUGAAGUGCUGGGUUUGGGGGUCUGUGUGAUACCCAGAGGUCCCCCACCAGCUCAGAGAAGAAUGGGGGAAUGGAGGAAGGGUUGUGAGAGAGGAUGACUAGAAGGAGGGUAGUAAGCAGGUUGUAAAGUGAAUAAGAAAAAAAAAGAAUUAAAUUAAAACAAACAAACAAACAAAAAACACCAAAGGAUUCCUCUCACAACACAAUUGGAGAGAAAUUAAUCAAAGAACCCAGUUCUUGUAGCCAAGCUGUCACACCGCCCACUAAGCCUACAAGUGGGAAUUCCAUUCAAAUAGUUGCAAAACAGUCCUUAAUACUUCAUCUUGUCUAUUAAUGGUCAGUUUGUCUCUGCAGUCAAACAGAACAAUCUUGUUUUCUCUAAUGAAAAGAAAAUUAAGUUAAAUCUUAAAAGAAGGGGAUUUAUUGUUUGUCGUUAGACAAUGGACACUAGAUACCGCAGAGUAAUGAAAUAAAUACAAGGAGCAAAGACAGAGAAUUUCUCAAGCAUUUCUCACACAGCCAUGCUUCAGCUGGAUGCUCCCCCACAGGCCUGUCCCUUGGCAGAAGAGUGUUCUUUAGCCUUCCAUAUGCUGCACUCUCUAAGAGAUAUACAAUGCCCGUUAAAAUAGUAAAGGUCCCAGAAUGCCGAAGUCAAGAAAUCCAUCUAAUGGCCUUUCCAUGCUUUAUAAUUCUACAAAGCUUUUCAAGUAUAGUCUCUACUAUAACUUUAUAGAUUUGGUGAGAGGGAAUAUGCCUAGAGUACUCCUAUACAAACACUACAUGUGUGUCCUAGUGCACUAGAAGUCAAGCCCCAGGAAAAUGGAAUCACUUAGAGGCAAUCAAAACUUUUGGUAGAAAAACAUGUCUUUGAAUGCUAAGAGCACGGAAGAAAGAAAUUAUAUAGGCUGGGAACCAUGUACUAUGGCAUUUAGGGGAGAGUGGAGAUUCAAAAGAAUGGGAAAGAAAUCAAGAAAUGGGAAGCAAAGUCUAAUAAUUCAAUCCACUAGGCCAUGUGUUAACGUAAUGUUUCUGAUGGAAGUAUACAGGACUUCAUAGGCUCCAGAGUUUUUAAGAUGAUGCUAUCUUUUACUAAAUCAGUACCUGGUCACCCUGCUGCCCAACUGGCUUUGGAAAUCUCCACUUCUCUGGGAUUCUAGAGGAGAGAGUAGGCAGGCUCACAAGGCUUCUUGGACAUUGAAUUUCUCUUACAAAACAAUAGUUUGUUGAAUUCUAUGCCAACUAAGCAGAUGGAUUACAUUUCUCUCUCAAUGUGCACAAAUUAAAAAAUUAAAGAGAAAAAGUAUUUGGUAAGAACCAGCUUUCUAUUUUGCUGGAUCAGAAGCAUUUACGGAAAUGGUUUGAAAUGCUUGGCUGAAACCCAGUGCCACCAGGCAUGCCUGGCUCCAGACACCAAUCCCAUUGACUGAAAAUUUCUAUUAAGCAAACAGAUGGGUGCAUGGUUUGUAGCUGACCUCCCCACAAGUGUGGAACAUGAAAUGCAAUAUUCCUGGAAGGAUAAACACUGUGUGCCUCAUAAUUUUACAAAGAGGGGUAGAGAUACAUUGCCAGGACAUCUUAGAAAUAAUAUUAGCUACAAAAUUAGAUUCUAAAGAGAUUAACUUUAUCAGUUAUUAGAGAAAUUGAGAAUGAAACUCAUAGAAAAAGCAAAAAAAAAAAAAAAAAAAAAAAAAAAAAAAAAAAACGAGAAAAAAAUGGGAAAGUAAGGGGUGAAUUGCCUAAAGUUCUACAACUGUGAAUAAAAUUAUUGAGAUGCUUUCUGAAAUAACAUGAUAAUUUCACAAAUUGUUAAUUAACAAAACCCAAGGUUUGUUUGUGUGCCUUUUUAAAAUGAAUAAAAUUUACUUUAAUAGCAGUUUUAAUGUUGGAGCAAUACUGAAAAGAAAAUCAAGCCCCUGCCCACUCUCCCACAAGGUGUUCUGUCAGCAUUUCUCAGUAGCUGGUAAUGCGUACGUAACCUUGACCAAAUAUCAGAGCUCACAUUAAAGACUACUCUGUACCUGUUUUUAAUAAAAAAGUAACAAGGUUGUGGAUUAUUGCUCUUAUUAAUGACUUACAAUACUGCUAAAAAGUGCAUUGCUUUUGGAUAUUUGAAGAAGACAGACACUGCAGCUAACAGUUUUGAAAAAAAUAAGUUGAUUUCAUAGUCUACUGAACUUAAAAAAAAAACCUAAAUUACUCAAAAGUUUAAGUUUUAUAGACUUAAUUCUGGUAUUGUUCCAAUAAGCAAGUCUUAUGUAUUAUCAAACACUAUUUGUAAUGUAAAAUGUGGAGCUAAUAUUAUUUCAUGGCUGUAACCCACUCUUUCAUGAGACAGCUACAGUUGCAAAAGGCAUACAAAGGAAAACAAACCCUAUGGUAGGUACUUUACACAGAAAAUGAUUGGAGUGACAGAAUAAAACUCAUGUUCAUUUCCACUGCUUUCAUUUUAAAAUGUGUGUGUGUGUGUGUGUGUGUGUGUGUGUGUCCACAGAAGUCAGAUCCCAUAAAGUUGGAACUGCAGGCCAUUGUGCUGGCAACCAAACGUGGGCCCUCUGUAAGAAUGGCAAAUGUUUUUUUACUGUUGAACCAUCUCCUCAGCUUUCAUUUUUUUUCUUUUUAUAAGAGCUUCCAUCCAGAUAUGAAGUUGGAAUCUUGGGUGUGUCAGUCAUGUGUCUCCUAGCCAAAAGAAUUCUGAAAUGUAUCCAUGCUGUGAUUUUGAUAAUGAGAUUCCAAAGACUGAAUGGAGUUCACUAGAGCUCUGUAUCUUGAUCUAUUCAGUGGACACAUUAAAAGUUCAAAGAAAGAUUAGAAAACCUAAUGACCAAUUCAGAGUGAGCCUAUCCAUAAUACCCAGUGUAUACCCUGCUGGUGUUAACCUAUUUCAGAUACAUUUCUCAAGAUGGUGACUGCUGUAUGUUCUAUUCUAUUCUGAGCCUCUGCUUCACUGGGGAGUAUUUGGCAAUGAUGAGCAUACAAUAUUUGCAAUCACCUGAGAAAACUAGGCACUGACACAGCCUUGUUAUCAGGAACCAAAGCUUUCUGUAUAUGAUAGUUCUUUUGAUUCUCUUACUAAUCCAAUUAUUAUUUUUGUGCUUCAUAGAAAGAGUAACUGAAAAUCCUUCAUUUUUAAAAUCAGAAUAAAGUUUUUUAAAAGAAAUGUGA